rnacentral:rRNA from 1 species
AACGAACGCUGGCGGCAGGCUUAACACAUGCAAGUCGAACGCCCCGCAAGGGGAGUGGCAGACGGGUGAGUAACGCGUGGGAACAUACCCUUUUCUACGGAAUAGCUCUGGGAAACUGGAAUUAAUACCGUAUACGCCCUACGGGGGAAAGAUUUAUCGGGGAAGGAUUGGCCCGCGUUGGAUUAGCUAGUUGGUGGGGUAAAGGCCUACCAAGGCGACGAUCCAUAGCUGGUCUGAGAGGAUGAUCAGCCACAUUGGGACUGGGACACGGCCCAAACUCCUACGGGAGGCAGCAGUGGGGGAUAUUGGACAAUGGGCGCAAGCCUGAUCCAGCCAUGCCGCGUGAGUGAUGAAGGCCUUAGGGUUGUAAAGCUCUUUCACCGAUGAAGAUAAUGACGGUAGUCGGAGAAGAAGCCCCGGCUAACUUCGUG